GGGCGGGGCGAAGGCUGAGGGCCGGGGCUCGCGGGACGAAUGCGCGUGCGCUUGGGUGUGCGCGGCGGCGGGACAUUGGGAGGGGAAUUGCAGGGCACAGAAAAAGAAACUCUCUAAAUCAUUUCAUGAAGCCAGCUUUACUGUAACCUGAUAAAGACUGGAGAACUUCAAAGCAAGAGCUAUCCUGCUGUCCUCAAAGAAGCAAACUGUCACGGUGUGGAGAACGCUAUGUGGCAGGGUCCAGUAGGCGGCCUCUAGGAGCUGACAGUCAGCGUGAAAGUAACAUCAGUCCUAUAGUUGUGAGGAACUGAGUUUUUCUAACUAGUGACCUUGGAAGAGGACUCCAAGCUUCAGGAGGGGACGUGAUGCUCUUGGGACGUGUUUCAAACUCCCAGACAAGAUUUUGCAAGUGGGCAUGAUUGAUUUCUCUGUAAAUGAUGUAGAUUUGGGUUCACUGCUGCAGCUCCAGCUCCUCGAAUAGCACCAGGCACCCAGUAAGUCCUCUGUUAACGCUGAUGGAAUGAACAUAUGAAGGAGUGGGUUGAAGAUAUCAAGGCCUGACUGGGAACUUGGUGGGAGAUUGACCUUUCAGUUUACAGAAAAGAGUAAAAAUUUUGGAGGCAACUUCGUCUAAACUCAUCUCUUUAAAAGCAUGGCAUUUUAUAUUCUCUCACAGCACGUUGGACUGACUGGCCAGAGCCUUGAACAUGGGUGAGCUGAUCCCAAGGGUUUGUGAAUGAUCCCUGGUGUGUCCAUCCCUCGUGGGAGUUAGCACCAGCUCUUGGAGCCUUCCUCUCAGCCUCCCAGGGAGACCCCCGAAAGGAAUCCUGGGAAUAUCCCAGGAUGUGAAACUCAGUGAUGGCAGCAUCUAAGGAUAAAGGCCCAGCUCUUCCCUGAACAUCUGGACCAAAAGCAUCCCUGGAAAUCGCAUGCCUGGAACCGAGUGGGGACAGGGCUGGAGGGAGGGCUGAAGCUCUAGGUUUUAUUUUUUGGGAGCUGAAGGAUCAGGUGGUAGUGGGUGAGGUAUUUACUUUUCACCCUCGGGCUGUGGUGGAGGAGAUGGAGUUGGGUUAUGGAGUCUACGUAUCCAGCCCAGCCUUGUGGACUAGAGCAAAGCCCCUACGAGCAGCGGCAUGGGUGGGAGCAGAAGGGGCUGCUUUCCCCAGAUAAGGUUGGAUCUGUGUGCCCCUUGGAGGCCAGGUGACAGAGUGUGACAUCGGUGAAGGAGGGGGCAUGCUCUCCCUGCGUGCAGCCUCACUGUGGUGGUGGGACUUCAGGAGGUGUUGGCCAUUUGGGCGUUUAGAUGGUUUGUGGCUCCUGUGGAUGCAGAGUCAAAGUGAGGGUACAGUGGGGAGGGUAUAGCUCAAGUGGUAGAGCACAUGGUUAGCAUGCAUGAGGUCCUGGGUUCAAUCCCCAGCACCUCCUCCAAGAAUGAAUAAAUAAAUAAACCUAAUUACCUCCCCCCAACACAAAAACAAAAAUGAAAAACAAAAUAAAUGAGGUUGUACUCAGAUGGCUUAAGAAGCCCCGCACGUCAUUGCAGGUGGACAGAGGGGACUCCAUGAGCACAUGUGGAUGUCCUGGAGAGGGUUCUAGAAGAGCAGUGGAGAGAGGUGGAUCCUGCGGGACUCUUGAUGAGAUGUGCACCGAGGACACAGGGACCCCUCGAGGGAGGGGAAGGAGAUACACGAGCCUGACUAGCACACUGGGAUUGGGUGGCACGCUAUUAGGUGGCCUUCCAAAGGAUGCAUUUCUUUUUUAUUUUUAAAUGUACUGAUAAAAUUGUCAAGCCCAGAGUUGAAGGGGAAAACCAGCUUUUAACUUAGCCCAAUACAUCUGAUUUUGAGGUAGAGAUUUUGAGGUCAGCAUUAUGGAAACCCACCAACCCUCAAUCAGAUUUUACACAAGUUAUAUGGAGACUGUCACUGUAUUACCACAAGCUUACACAUCUCAUUUCCUUUUCUGUCUAGUCCUCCAUUUAAUAACCUGAAAAUCUAUCUUUUUAUUGAGUUUCAUGCUAUUUUCUUACUUACAUACAAUCGCGUUCCUCUUACCAAUUGCCUAGUGUCAUGGCACAUUAGUUAGGUGAAUUUGUUGAUAUUUCAAAAUUACUCUUUCUGUAUUUUUUAUUCUAUCAACCAGUUUAAACAAGUGGUUGGGAGCACUCCUGUGAUGAAAGAAAAAAGGCUAUUUUUUUUUUAAGAAUAAAUUGCUUCCAAUGGGAAGGGUAGAGCUCAAGUGGUAAAGCGCAUGGUUAGCAUGCAUGAGGUCCUGGGUUCAAUCCCCAGCACUUCCUUGAAGAAUAAAUAAAUAAAAAGAAUAAAUUGCUUCCAUGGUACAUUAGUUGGUGUUAUUCUAGUUUCUAGCGAUGGGAGCACACAGCACAUUCUGGCCCCACCCACAUCUAAUUUACUUAAGUUACUCCCCAACACUUGUAUCCCUGCAGGGAACACAGGUGCUACUGAGGGCAGAAGAGAGACAAGAAAGGACGGGGUGCUCAAAGGAAGACGAGGCACGGUCUGCCCCGUGGAGCCUCAGGACAAUUCUGUUCCUCAGAUAUUUCCCCUGUAACCAUGGUGCAGGCUCGGAGCAAGGCCCCAGGGAUACAGAGGUGGACUCUGUAUCCAGAGUCUUGCCUUUUUUUGGUGGUGAUUGGGGUGGGGGAGGUGUGUGCAAACUCAAUGCCCAGCUCAUUCCUGUUUCUCCUUCAUGGAUGACAGACAUUUUAACAGUGCAUUCUGCAUUUCCUCUGGGAAUUUGUUGGAUUUGUAUAUGUAUAUGAAUGCAUCUAUCCAUCCAUUUGGAAUGUGCCUUUGAACACAGUUUUAGGUACAUAUAUAUACAUACAAAUGUGUUUCUAUAUGUACAUAUAAGCACAUUUAUGAUAAGUAAUGUGGAUGCUGGGAUACAAGUGUGAGGAUGGGAGUCAAGCAGGUCUUGAUCAAAGAUGUGUCUACAUCCCAGGAAAGAGUCUCCUGCCUUGAUGUGCUCCCAGUGUAAUUGAUGGAUUGCUGAUUUCUACCCCACGUAGCUGGUGCUGCGGGAACAGGGUUCCUGGAGCCCAGAUGAGGGG